rnacentral:lncRNA from 1 species
UUUUAUUUCGAUAUUACCUCUAUUUCUCCUAUUAGUUCAACAGAAAAAAAGGACGUUUACUAAAAUGCAUGCUUCUUCCAGAGGCAGAUUGUGAGCUUAAAUGAACGGUGACCACAUUUUUUUAUUUCAUUUUUCUUUUAAGUAUAUGAUAAAGUUCAUUUAUAAAAAAAAUAUAGCAAAAUCCUAUAUUAGAAAAAAAAAAUUAUUUAUACCCAGGAGCCCC